GUACAGGCUGCCGGGAAUACUGCAGAGCUAGGGAGUGGGAGAGGUAGACGGUACUCGGUAGGAAGGGGUAAAAUCCUUUGAUCUAUUGAUGACCACCUGUGGCGAAGGCGGUCUACCAGAACACGUCCGACGGUGAGGGAUGAAAGCUGGGGGAGCAAACCGGAUUAGAUACCCGGGUAGUCCCAGCUGUAAACCCUGCAAACUCAGUGAUGCAUUGGCUUAUGGCCAAUGCAGUGCUGCAGGGAAGCCGUUAAGUUUGCCGCCUGGGAAGUACGUACGCAAGUAUGAAACUUAAAGGAAUUGGCGGGGGAGCACCACGAGGGGUGAAGCCUGCGGUUCAAUUGGAGUCAACGCCAGAAAUCUUACCCGGAGAGACACCAGAAUGAAGGUCAAGCUGAAGACUUUACCAGACAAGCUGAGAGGUGGUGCAUGGCCGUCGCCAGCUCGUGCCGUGAGAUGUCCUGUUAAGUCAGGUAACGAGCGAGAUCCCUACCUCUAGUUGCCACCAUUACUCCCAGGAGUAGUGGGGCGAAUUAGCGGGACCGCCACAGUUAAUGUGGAGGAAGGAAGGGGCCACGGCAGGUCAGUAUGCCCCGAAACUCUGGGGCCACACGCGGGCUGCAAUGGUAACGACAAUUGGUUCCGAAUCCGUAAGGAUGAGGUAAUCCUCAAACGUUACCACAGUUAUGACUGAGGGCUGCAACUCGCCCUCACGAAUAUGGAAUCCCUAGUAACUGCGUGUCAUUAUCGCGCGGUGAAUACGUCCCUGCUCCUUGCACACACCGCCCGUCGUUUCAUUGAAGUGAGCUUUUAGCGAGGUGACGUCACAUUGGCGUUAUCGAACUUGAGGUUCGUGACAAGGGAAAAGUCGUAACAAGGUGGC
rnacentral:rRNA from 1 species